rnacentral:miRNA from 1 species
GAAGCAACGAGAGGCUGGUCUGA